AUGCAAAAACUUCAUUAAAGGAGCAAAACAAUUUGUCCUUUAGCGUUUUUGGACCUAAACGUAAAAACGUAAACCUUUGGGCCAAAGUGCAAAUACACAAAAGUAUCAAAACUUUAUGUAAUUGCAUAAAAGACCCAAAAGUACUCCCAUUGAGGGAGGGCCGGUUUUUAGAGAGGGAAAGGGAGUGGAGAUAAGUCCACAAAAAUUUGGAAAAUUUUUCAACAAUUUCAUAAAGCCUUGCAAGUGGAAUUUGUGACAUAAAUUCAUGCAAGUGGAAUUUGUGACAUAAAUUCAUGCAAGUGGUAUGUGACUUAAAGUCAUGCAAGUGAUGUGUGUGUAAGAGAAGUACUUCUUACACACCUAUCACCAUUUCCAUCACCUUACACAAUUUCUAUCACAUUAAAACAUUUGAUAAAGCACAAAACAAAGACUUUAUGAAAUUAACCAAAACUUUGAAUCAAAACACAAACCUUUUUGUUCUUGGCAAAAAUGUCAAGAACAAUGAAGAACACUCAUGAAAAAACUCAAAAUUUUCCAUGAACAUUUUUCACCCAAAAACAUUCCAAAACCAUUCAAACUUUAGGGAAAUAACAUCUAACCAAACUAGGGUACUUAGGGGUUCCAAAAGUUACCUUAAAACACUUUUAACAAGUCAAACAAGAACCCAAAAAUCCACCCUUUGGAUUUGGCCGAAAAUCCCCAAAGUCAUG
rnacentral:lncRNA from 1 species